CCUUCCUCCCUCCCCUCCCCUCUGGCAAGAUCCAGCGUGCGUCCUCCCUCUCCUCGAUCUAGAUCGGGGCACCUCGUCGCCCCGCCUUCGUCUCCCUCUGUCUCCCACCUGAUGGAGCCCGCGGUGGGGGGAAGCGAGGGGCCAAACACCCGCUUCCAACACACAAGGUCUCGGCUUCCCCUCCCAUCGCCGCACCACUCGUCCGCUAGCUCCCCACGCAGGCGGAUUUGGAUCGAGGCGGCCGUCAUCGGCGGCGGCAGCGGGCUGGGUACCAUGAGCGCUGUGCUCGCCAUCUGACACCAUCCUCCAGUGGUGGGGAUUCAACAUCGCCGUCAUCAACAAGCGGGUAUUCUAGAUCUUGCCACACUGGGCAUCAGGACCGCUGGAUGCUUCUCUCACGGUGGUCAAGCCAAGCUCUCCUACGGUGGUUAGAACGGGCGUCGUCAACCCUGCCGCCCCCUCUUCCGCCGGGUCCCCCAAGAGGUCGUGCAUCCUGCCGCGACCACCUCUACUACGUGACGGUGGUGGCCGACCUGCAAUGCGACCGCUGCAUCGCCAGUAACCUCUUCGGUGAGCACUUUACCUCUGCCUCCCUCCUCUGCCUAGAUCCCGUGACUGAGCCACACUCUGUAGCAUGUAGAUUACUGCUUGUAUGGCCAUGAGGAAUGAAAUAAUUUUGCAGCUAAUAAUUCUAGUUUCUUGUUGGAGGAAUUGCUGCACCACUAGUUGUUUCUAUUGUGUGCUGGACAGUCGAUGUGGAUAGCCUGCAUGCUAUUUCUUAGGACAUUAAGCUACGGAAGGAUAAACUGACAUAAGUAAGCUAGUCUGAAGGGUCGAUAACUCACAUUUGUUUCUGAAUUUGGUUGGUUUAUCUAUCUGUGGUCCUCAAUGUAUUAAAUGACAGCCAAAGGUAUCCAUCUAUAGAGGCUUAUCUACUAACUGUUGGACCUUGGAGGCUUAUAGUGCGAUGAAAGCCAAAUUUAUCUAACUAGCCAGUCGACAGGCUAAAACAACUAGCUAUAAAAUGACAUCAAGUUCUGGUUUACAUGUUAUUCUCGUCGUUCAUGCCGACAGACCUUCUGUUGUAGUGUUUAGAGUAGAUUGAGUCUGCCAGCCCUCCUUUUUGUUUUUGUUCUUAUUUUGGACAGAUGCUUGGGGUGCAUACUUUCUAGAAUCUGCAUUUGGAUUUGCAGUCCGCAUUGUCGAAGAAAAUUGUCGAUUGUUUGAUUGAUGUUCUGACUUUUAUGUGGACCAGUCGUCCAUUCUCUAAAUCAUUCUUUUAAUCCUGCUACCCUUUUUGUAUCCAUGUACUGUUUAUCUUGUUUAAGCAUUAGUGUAUACUUUUCUUUCAGCAAUGGCAACACAAGCAGGAACCUUGGCUACUCCUCGUUUAAGUCUCCAAGUGGUAGGGUUCUCUGUUCAUGGGAGUCACCAUCUAGGCAUGCUUGAUGCUUCACCAGAAUGCUGCAUUGUUCUUUAGCUGUCGAUUGUCUGUGUAGAUUGACUGUAUCGAGUUGAGGACUUGAGGCAGGUUGUAGGUGAUUAGAACAACCACAUGUUAAGUAAGAUCAGUUGUACUGUAUGCUCUGAACAUAAGCUUGUGCUGCUGCCAGUGUAGUGUAUGCUCUGAACACAAGAUCCUUUACUUGCUCUGGUUUGGUUAAGACUGAUGAUGCCGUGGAUAAGAAAACAAUUUAAAAGGUCUGUUGAAACAAGGUGGAAGCAUGUUUUUUCUUGCAACGUACCCUAAACCCCUAAACCCUUUUUAUUUGAACUUGUUAGUUAUGUUCUGGAGUCUGGAAUUUUUGAAUCAAUAUCUAUCUGAUUAAUGCAUGCCUUGUUUUGUUUUUUAGUUUGUUGCAAAACAUAUAUCUGGUGUAUCUGAUUAGUUAUGUUGUAAAAGAAUGCUUGUCUCUGACACUGUUAUUCUUAUGUUGAUAUAUGUGCCCAGGUUUGUGUGUUUUGAAUCAAUAUCUAUCCGAUUAAUUAAUGACCAUGGUGAGCUAGAUCCAAACAAACAAGACACUUACAUUAACUUGGCACUUUGAGUCCUUGUAAUUCUGAUAGUGUGGAACUAUAUUUUGUACACAUAGUCAACUAGUUUUCGUUUUAUAUUUGCUUGCUUAUGUGGAACUAUAUUUUCUCAUUUUUCUAAUUAUGACAUGGAUGAUAUGAAAUAUCAGAAUUGUUUCUGUUACAUGGUGUGCUGCAGGAAAGCCCCUGUGUAGGUUUAUUGUCUCGUAAUUGGGCAAUUAUUUUCUUGCAGGGGGCCACCCGUUCUAGCUUGCUUUGACCCUCUUUUGCUCUGUAGUGGUCUUGGUACAUGAAAAGCAGGUCCUUUUAAAUGUUUUGCUUCCUUGGUUGCAUUCUGCUGUACACUCAAAAAUAUUUUCAAUUUAGUGACAAGCAAACAAUAAAAUAGUCAAAAGGCUUUUAUUUAAUGUGCUUUUCGAAAAUGACAAUGUGUUGUGAUGUUCUCCUCUUUCUGUUGACAUGUAUGUUGAGUAAUAUCAAGCCAUAAUUAUAGUCACUCCAAGACAUGCUCAAAUGUAGUCGCACGUACAGAUUUGUGUGGCUGAGGUACAGUUUUAAGAUGAGAUACGUAUAUAUGGAACAUGAAAGUAAUACCGUUUGUUAGGACAUGAUGACUGUUUGUUUACUACUUUAUGAUUUUGUGUAGAGUUGUGUCCUUCUUGUCCCCUUUUACCCAAGGCCAUCUUGUUGUGUCAAUGGCUGUGUUGCCGUUUCAAGUUUUGUGUAUGUGCAUAUGUACAUAGCAGUAGACUAGACUGUUGUGAUCGUAUAUUACCUUCAUCCCUUCUUAGAUUUAUCUAGAUACGGAUGUAUCUAACACUAAAACGUGUCUAUACAUCCGUAUCUAGACAAAUCUAAGACAAGAAUUUUGGGACGGAGGCAAUGUUUUCGUGUUGUUGAGUCGUUCUGGGGUAGCGACUCUUGACGAGUUGUGCCUGGCUGAUCGACUAGUCUCUACUAGUCGAGAGGUUGAGUCGACAUCUGGCAGUGCAGCUCGUCGACUAGUCGCGUGGAUGGAGGGAGUACUUGCUUUGCAGCCCGACAAGACAAUAUUGUUCCCUUCAUGAACGAGGACAUGGGCAUGUACCUCGACGAUGAGCUCAUCCACCACUACCACCUCGACUCCGCGUGCAAGGUGUUGUGUGUCCUGGAAGAUGGAAGAGGAAGAAAACUUAUUUUUGUUGAACUAAAUUUCCUGUAUUUUGUUUUGUUGUAUGUAUCAUUUGAUAGUUUUGUAUAGGAACAAGUGAUACUAUUUUGAAGGGCUUUAUGGCCGGUGAUGUAAACAUAUUUAGUGCUGAAAUAUAAAAUUA